rnacentral:rRNA from 1 species
AGUGAACGCUGGCGGUAGGCCUAACACAUGCCAGUCGAACGGCAGCACAGUAAGAGCUUGCUCUUACGGGUGGCGAGUGGCGGACGGGUGAGGAAUACAUCGGAAUCUACUUUUUCGUGGGGGAUAACGUAGGGAAACUUACGCUAAUACCUCAUACGACCUACGGGUGAAAUCAGGGGAUCUUCGCACCUUGCGCGAUUGAAUGAGCCGAUUUCGGAUUAGCUAGUUGGCGGGGUAAAGGCCCACCAAGGCGACGAUCCGUAGCUGGUCUGAGAGGAUGAUCAGCCACACUGGAACUGAGACACGGUCCAGACUCCUACGGGAGGCAGCAGUGGGGAAUAUUGGACAAUGGGCGAAAGCCUGAUCCAGCCAUACCGCGUGGGUGAAGAAGGCCUUCGGGUUGUAAAGCCCUUUUGUUAGGAAAGAAAAGCAGUAGGUGAAUACCCGGCUGUUCUGACGGUACCCAAAGAAUAAGCACCGGCUAACUUCGUG